UACGUAGGGGGCAAGCGUUGUCCGGAUUCAUUGGGCGUAAAGAGCGUGUAGGCGGCCAGGCAGGUCCGCUGUGAAAACUCGAGGCUCAACCUCGAGAUGUCGGUGGAAACCGUCUGGCUAGAGUCCGGAAGAGGAGAGUGGAAUUCCCGGUGUAGCGGUGAAAUGCGCAGAUAUCAGGAGGAACACCGGUGGCGAAGGCGGGUCUCUGGGCCGAAACUGACGCUGAGGAGCGAAAGCGUGGGGAGCAAACAGG
rnacentral:rRNA from 1 species